UCGAGAAUCAUUCACAAUGGGGGAAACCCUGAUGGUGCGACGCCGCGUGGGGGAAUGAAGGUCUUCGGAUUGUAAACCCCUGUCAUGUGGGAGCAAAUUAAAAAGAUAGUACUACAAGAGGAAGAGACGGCUAACUCUGUGCCAGCAGCCGCGGUAAUACAGAGGUCUCAAGCGUUGUUCGGAAUCACUGGGCGUAAAGCGUGCGUAGGCGGUUUCGUAAGUCGUGUGUGAAAGGCGGGGGCUCAACCCCCGGACUGCACAUGAUACUGCGAGACUAGAGUAAUGGAGGGGGAACCGGAAUUCUCGGUGUAGCAGUGAAAUGCGUAGAUAUCGAGAGGAACACUCGUGGCGAAGGCGGGUUCCUGGACAUUAACUGACGCUGAGGCACGAAGGCCAGGGGAGCGAAAGGG
rnacentral:rRNA from 1 species